GCGUCGCUCCGACGGAGACGGCUCUGCCCGCGGUGGACAGCUCCAGAGAAAAAGAGGAGGCGGAGGUGAAUGUGCUCUGUGCCUCAUGGUCAUAUAGAUCCUCGUUGAGGAGAGAAACGUCCACCGCAUCGAACACCGGCCCGUCAAGAUACGUGAAGAAUUGCCGUCAUAUUCAACAUCUCUACUACAGAAGUGUGAGUCGUUUGACAACCCCCUUGCCAGCUCAUCCCAUGAGAAUAUAGGUUACUAAACUUGAGUGUUGUUGUAUUGUACGUCAUGAAAUUCAACGCGGUAGAUAGUUUCAGUAUUGCAAAUGACUAACUGGAACUAUGGAAAUGUAGGAUGUUUCAAGGCAAUUAUUUUCAAGGUCUACUUCCAGAUACUCUUUCCUAUCGUGGCCAACCUACAAGCUUGUUAGUGUUUAUUGCCGGUGAUAAGAGCCAACUGCCAUUGUUAAAUGUCAAGGUUAUAGCAGGGAACAUUAAUAAUAUACCAUUAUCAUGCAGAUGAAUAGGUGACAUAGUAAAUAUAAUUAAGUUGUGCUUUACUAGGAUUCCUCGGGAAUAUGGCAUGUUUGAACACCCUGCAUGCAUAACUUUUUCAGUUAAUUGCUCAAAUUACAGUCCCAAUUUGUUGUAAUUCAACAAGUUGUUAGCCUAAAACUUGUAAUAUGUUGUUUUACAUGGUUUCGGGGAACUGCAGAAUAUCUGAUAAGCUUGUAUCAAUAGAAUUUUCGAAAUUCAUGAGAUUAAAUUUAUUGUAUGCAUUUAUUUUGACAAUAGCCAAGUGCCUUUUGUGCAAGAGUUGAUGAUAUCUUUCCUGCCUCACUUUUCUUAUAGGGACUUUUAGUUUCAAAAAUAUCACAACCCAAGUACCACAAGCCUUGUUGAACCUGAAAUCUGUCAACUUCUUGUACAUAAUCUCUUGACUUGCAAAAUGUGUAUCUAUUAAAUGAAAACUUCCACCAUUCUUCUCGCUAAUCUGUGAAUUUUGUAGUGACUAGAUUUGUUGGGAAAAUAGCCUUUCAGGAAGCCUUCCAAGCUCAAUACGAUCUUUACUUAGAAAUUUGUAUGCAAUGCGGUUCAGUUUUAUUGACAUUUUUACCAAAUAAAAGCAAGGAGAUGUUUAUUGCUUGAUAAUUGAUUGGAGCAAACGCUGGAUGUUGAAGUAACCAAAAGGUUAGGUUCAACUUUCUCUGUGGAUUUUAGAAAUAUGGUGACCUAUAAAUAUAUGAGCUUUUUAGUUUUGCUCAUCUUACUAUUGAGAAAUAACCCAUGAUGAAGAUCUCUACACAAAUGUGAUCGCUACAUAUAAGUGGGAACUUUUCUAAAGGUUAAAAGCUUUGAUGUGUUUGCUUAUCCUUGCUAAAACAGACCUACAUUAAGUUUGGAUCAGGGGGUGGAUUGAAGAUGUGGACCCUGAGCUCCAGGAAUCCAGAGUGACCUGACCACACAUUCUUCCGCAUGUUUGGAUCAGGGGGUGGACCAAAGAUCGACUUUGGCUUGCGAUGCUGGUUCAAGUUAGUGCUUGCACAUCCCAUCCUGCUCAAGGCUGCUUGAUAUCUCGCUCACACCUGAGGUGCACAUGUUCUCGCCCUUUCCUCCAGCGUGAUUUGGCCGAUCCGUGUAUAGGAGCGAGGUUGGAGGCGCACUGGUCUGGGGCUGUCCAUGUUGGGAUGUUACUUUGAUUCAUUCACCUUUUGUUAUUCAGCUCCUUUUUUCCGUUUCCUAGCGACCCAGUUUAUCCUGUUAUGCUAGAGGUUUUGCUGCUAUCUAGCAAUAUUGUAUAUUGCAUAUUUUAGAUAUCAUAUUUGUGUUUUAUGAAACAGCAAAUCAGGUUUUCAAAUUUAUUUACCCAUUUGGUCAAAUCUGUAAAGUUAUUACGAUGGCUAUGUGAAUAACAUAGAGAAAAAAUAUUUUAAAUGACAUGGGUAAUGUUGCAUCUACUUUUUUUAUAUUUUACCUUCUACAAAGAAAUUUCUUGGCAGCUAUAUCGUUCAGGUUUUCACUGUUUUUAUGCAUUGCAAAUUUACUUUCAGGUACAAUAAAUCCUUUGCUAAUUCUUAUGCUUAUGCAUAACUUCAUCUAGCUGCCUUUUACACUACACAUUUUGUGACCAGUAAGAUUCCUCAGUUUGUGCAUCUUUCUACUAUAAGAAUAAGUAUCCAAACUUCUAAAAUUUUACUUACUCUCUUUUUCAGGUGUCAAAAAUAGAUGCCUACAGAGUGUCCUUUCUUGCAUUGCUACAGUGUGGACUCUAAUUUUGUUGGCCAAUCAAGGAACAAGGAAAUGCUGGCGUAAUUUAAAAUGUUCUUUCUUGCAUUGCUACAGUCUAGACCCAUUGUUGAUACAGUUGUGCUUUCUUUUUUUCAAAGAGAUGCCAUUAUAUCAAAUAAAUAGCUCAUAUUUUCAUGAUUAAAUUGUGUCCUGAGGUGAUACUACUAGGCUGCUUUAUUAAAUGAUAAAAGAUGGUUAGAUACUCAGGAAUUUUACUACAGGUUUGAUGAUGUUGGCUGAUAAUAAUUACUGAUACUUCCCUUUAAAUAUGUUGCUUCUAUUUAAUUUGCAAUUUGCAGAAUGUUCAUUACAACAAUUCCUUGAAAAGACCAAAAUUCUUCUCAAGUUCCCUUCAGGCAGAUAAGAAGAGAAGAGAUGAUGAUAGGAAGUUGGGAUAACUGGUCCAAAUCAAAUCAAGUGGCAAUGUGCUUCCAGAAGUUUAAGAAGAAACAUGAACAUUGGCACGUGCAGUUCGCUUGGUAUUCUAGCUGAAGUCAUCAACAAUCAAAUUUAUAGUUGAUAGAGCAAAUAUUGUAUUCACCUUCUGGUUUUACAGUGCAUGCAUGUAAGAACUGGUGUUUAUAUCACAAUCUAUAUUAUCAUUCAAUGGAGAUUA